CGGGAGAAAGCAGGGGAUCUUCGGACCUUGCGCUAUUGGAUGAGCCUAAGUCGGAUUAGCUAGUUGGUGGGGUAAAGGCCUACCAAGGCGACGAUCCGUAGCUGGUCUGAGAGGAUGAUCAGCCACAUCGGGACUGAGACACGGCCCGAACUCCUACGGGAGGCAGCAGUGGGGAAUAUUGGACAAUGGGGGCAACCCUGAUCCAGCCAUGCCGCGUGUGUGAAGAAGGCUUUCGGGUUGUAAAGCACUUUCNGUAGGGAGGAAAACCUUAUGGCUAAUACCCAUGAGGCUUGACGUUACCUACAGAAGAAGCACCGGCUAACUCCGUGCCAGCAGCCGCGGUAAUACGGAGGGUGCAAGCGUUAAUCGGAAUUACUGGGCGUAAAGCGCGCGUAGGUGGGUUU
rnacentral:rRNA from 2 species